CUGAGUCAUGGCAUACAAUCGAGCAUCAUGCUGUGUGAUGGACGCCCGCCGGAUCUUUGGCAAAGGCUGUCCCGCUGGCUUGCUGGUACUGGCAACCCCAGAUGAGCGAGCAAAGGGGGACUCAGUCACGCUCAAGUCAUCCUCAGAGGUGGUCAUUCGCCUGGCGUGCCAAUGCCCCUGCUUAUCCCUGCAAAGCGACAAUUGCUUUCAACAAUCCAGUCACCCACACACUGGUUCCAUUACCGUCCAUUGAGUGGCAUAUUUGGCAGUAAAUAGAGAUGCAAAAAAAAAAUGACAGGAGCAAGUAAGGCUCAAGGGCCUGCUUGCAAGCGAAGAAAAGCAAAGGUUCUGAUGCCACAACACUUACUCUGAAAGCAAGUGUUCCUUCGAAGGCCCCAAGCCCGUCAAAGAGCCACUCCCUUUCGUCUUUAGAGCAGCAAGCUUCUGUGACUUCAUACUGGUUGCUUCCUCACCAAGACUUCAGUGACCCCAGUCAAAACACUAUUUCUUGUUUGUUAGGUGACACAUCCGCCGUUAGAGCCUUCGCAGGUGCUCUUGAUGUGAGUUUUUUUGCUCACAUCUUGGAGACAUGCACUGAUCGAGGAAGCGCAAAUUGAUUUCAUACUGAAUAUCCAGGGUACGACCUACGUAUGCAUCAUGCAUUGUUUCUCAAAAUAAGCCAUUUAUAUCAUCUGAGCAUGCAAAGCGUUCGUGUUUCCAAGAUGGAGCAAAUUAUCAUGCACCAUCAGCCCACGUAUUUCUCCUCUCAGAUUCACAAGUACCUUGCCAAGCUCUACAACGCUUUGCAAGUGUUCUAAACAGUCCUAGGCACAAAGAGUGUGAUGUGAGACAGCAUGCAAGGCA
rnacentral:lncRNA from 1 species